rnacentral:rRNA from 1 species
CACGUAGGGUGCAAGCGUUGUCCGGAAUCAUUGGGCGUAAAGAGCUCGUAGGCGGCUUAGUAAGUCGGGUGUGAAAACCCCAGGCUCAACCUGGGGACGCCACCCGAUACUGCUAUAGCUAGAGUCCAGUAGGGGAGUGUGGAAUUCCCAGUGUAGCGGUGAAAUGCGCAGAUAUUGGGAGGAACACCAGCGGCGAAGGCGGCUCACUGGCCCGAUACUGACGCUGAGGCACGAAAGCGUGGGGAGCAAACAGG